rnacentral:rRNA from 1 species
AUUGAACGCUGGCGGCAUGCCUUACACAUGCAAGUCGAACGGUAACGGGCCUUCGGGUGCCGACGAGUGGCGAACGGGUGAGUAAUACAUCGGAACGUGCCCGAUCGUGGGGGAUAACGAGGCGAAAGCUUUGCUAAUACCGCAUACGAUCUACGGAUGAAAGCAGGGGACCGCAAGGCCUUGCGCGGACGGAGCGGCCGAUGGCAGAUUAGGUAGUUGGUGGGAUAAAAGCUUACCAAGCCGACGAUCUGUAGCUGGUCUGAGAGGAUGAUCAGCCACACUGGGACUGAGACACGGCCCAGACUCCUACGGGAGGCAGCAGUGGGGAAUUUUGGACAAAGGGCGCAAGCCUGAUCCAGCCAUGCCGCGUGCAGGAUGAAGGCCUUCGGGUUGUAAACUGCUUCUGUACGGAACGAAAAGCCUUCUUUUAAUACAGGAGGGUCAUGACGGUACCGUAAGAAUAAGCACCGGCUAACUACGUG